CCCGGCCUGUCUCUUUUACGUGUAUUUUUUCCUUCCUCCCACAAAUAAAAAAUAUCACAGUGUAUUUAAACAAAACAAAAACCUAUGCAUGUACUUUGAAGCAGGUAGCUCUGUGAGCAGUAGCAAAUUCAUAUGGGUCUGUAGCAACCUCAAUUCUUGCCUCCUCAGAAGAAAGAAUUCCACCGAGGGGCAUAAGGCAGAGUGAGACAGCAAGGCAAGUUUUAGAGCAGGAGUGAAAGUUUAUUAAAAACCUUUAGAGCAGGAAUAGAAAGAAGUAAAGUACACUUGGAAGAGGGUCAAGUGGGUGACUUGAGAGAUGAAGUGCCCUGUUUGACCUUUAACUAGGGUUAUUACAUGUUGGCAUACUUCCGAGGGGAGAGGGUUGCAUCCCUUCUCCCCUGAUUCUUCCCUAGGGGUGGGCUGUUUGCAUACACAGGGGCUUGCCAGCACUUGGCAGAGGAGCAUGUGCAGUGUCUGUACUGAAAUUGUACACAUGCUCACUCGAGGUGCUCAAGAAUGAUCUUAUACCUGUUAAACGCCACCAUUCCGCCUCUUAGUGAGCAUGCUUGAGCCCACUCGUCCAACUCCUGAAAUCUUAUCAAGAAGCAGUUGAUCACUAGUUUCAGGUGUUUCUAUCCUUUGGGAGACUGCCUUUUCCUGGUGCUGGCUGCAACCAAUUGUUAUUUUAGAGAGAUACUGUAACAAUCACCUGAGAUAUCUUGGUAAGUGAGUAGGGAGUGUUCAGCCCUCCCCUACCCUGCUCAUGUCUGACUAGCUACCUACUGUAACAGCUCUGGAUUUAACUACUGUUUUUUACAAUUAGCAGGUACCUCCAUUGGGGUCACUGACUUCCCGCAACACACACUCUAUCAGCUGAAAUAAGUGGAGACUUUGCUGAUCUUCUUACCAAGGACAGAGGGCUAUGGAGGCUGAUACAGCAGGCACCUCAUGGAAACAGAGACUGGAUCUCACUACUUGCCUAGCUCUUGAACUCCUGGCCUCAAGCAAUCCUCCUGCCUCAACCUCCCAAAGUGCUGGGAUUACAGGAGUGAGCCACUAUGCCCCACAUGUAUUCUCCCAUUUGAGAAAACAAUGAACAAAUCAGUGAGAAGAAGCAAGCAGCUUAUAUUCUUUGAUAUUCUCUGCUAUUCUGGUUUUUGGGGAAAAUAUUUCAUAAUCAGUCCUCCAAAAUUGAAGUGAUGUGAAAGAAUUGGCAGAUAUUUAAAUAAAGGACCCAUAAGUAUAAAAUAAAUGGAAACUGUAGUAAUGAGGCUAUGAAAUAUAUAAGAUGGUUUAUUCAUAGGUAAUACAGACCUUCCAGAGAAAAGUUUAUACGCCUCACAGAAAGGACAGGGACUUUGAAAUUAACAAUGAACUUCUUUAGAAAUUCUGACUUUAAUAGUUAACAUUUGUAAGACUUGAAACAAGAUAUCUUGUUUAAUAAACUCCACAAACCUCAAUUUUUUUACAAGAUGGGGAAAAUAAUGGCUACCUUAGAUGAGUAUUGUGGGGAUUAAAGUAAAUAGAUAUAAAAUAUCUAAAAGAAUGCCUGGGGCAUUGUUAGUGUUGUAAUAACUUAGUUUCAUAAAGCUCCAGUAAAUAGUCAUGUACAUAUUAUUUUUUAGAAGUAUGAAGUUCAGAAAUAUUUGUGAUCCCUUUUCUUAUUUGCAGUCUUCUCAGUACUAAAUGGAAUGACUAAGGGUAUCUUUAAUUAUUAAACAACUCCUAACCUGAAAACAAAUGGAUUACAUUGGUGGCCGACUCACAGAGAAAGUUUAUGCAGAUAGAAUCUACAUGGCCAAUUCAAAAAAAGGACACAUUUUUAGAAACGAUAUCCAGGAUGUCACAAUACCUUGUCUACACUCAUCAAUUUUAUUGUCACCUUGCCACUAUUGAGCUUAGUGUUGACACUUCCCAGAGCCCAGAAGUUGCCCCUAAAAAUUAUGAAUUCCACACUGGGAAAGCAAGGUAAAGUAAUUCUUUUGUUGGGUUAUUGAUGCUUUGGAAGGGACAUAGAGAUAUGGAUGCAUACAUAGCUCAAAAUAAAAGAGAAUUUAUUCUGGAACAUGGCCAAGAUAAGAAUGUCACCUAAGUUCACCAGGCCAUCAUUUGAGAGUAGCUUCAGCAGAUUAAUACAUCAAAAAAGCCAAUAAAACAAAACAUUGAAAUGUAAUUAUUUAUUAAAUACUUGAAGGAAUUACAGUAGUUGAGUUGAAUCAUAUUUUUUUAAAAAGAUGAAGAAGAAAAACACAGCCUUUAAAAUUUCUCUUUCGAUCCCCUUUUUCUCUUUUCCUGAAAUUCUAAACCUCAAGGAAGUUGACUUAUAAGAUGUUCCUUUUUUAAAAUCAACCCACUCUCAAAAUUCC
rnacentral:lncRNA from 10 species